UUGUCAGUAUUUUUGAUUAAGCAAACUUAUUUCUUCAAAUAUUGUUUUUAAUUAUGCACAAUGGUCACACUGAAUAGAGGGAUUACGCAAAAAAUUUGUACGAAGCUGCAUAAUUUUUUGUGACCUUUUUGCACUUAAAAUAGACAAUUUCUAUAAUAGUUACAAUUUGAUUUGAAAUAAAAACUUUUUGAAUAUCAAGAAUUUUAUAAGAUUAAUCCAGUUUGCCUAGAUAUGUAUUCAGUAUCAUUUUGACAUAAUAUAACAUGGGGGUCAGUGAUGUCAAAUUUUAGAUAUAGGGCUUCAAAGGUAAAAUUCUCGCAAAAUUUGGCUUAAAAAAUUCAGACAUGUCCUAUAUAUUUGCAUGAUUUUAUGCUAAACGGCUAUCACAUUCUCAAGAUUUGAUUUUGUACAUGUCACACAGAACCUAUAAAAUAUGUUACAAACCUAUCAAAUGUUUAAACUGUGAAUAAUGAAUAAAGUAUAAUAAAAAGAAAAGUAAAUUGAAAAUUC
rnacentral:sRNA from 1 species